rnacentral:rRNA from 1 species
UACGGAGGACGCAAGCGUUGUCCGGAUUUAUUGGGUUUAAAGGGUGCGUAGGCGGCUUUGUAAGUCAGUGGUGAAAUAUGGCAGCUCAACUGUCAGGGUACCAUUGAUACUGCGGAGCUUGAGUACAGAUGAGGUAGGCGGAAUUGACGGUGUAGCGGUGAAAUGCAUAGAUAUCGUCAAGAACACCUAUAGCGAAGGCAGCUUACUAAGCUGUAACUGACGCUGAGGCACGAAAGUGUGGGGAUCAAACAGG